GUGCUGGCUUCAACAGUACAUAUACUAAAAUUGAAAUGAUACAUGAAGAUUAGCAUCACCCCUGCCCAAAGAUGAUGACAAAUUAACAAAGAGAAUAAAGAAGAGUUC
ensembl:snRNA U6 U6 spliceosomal RNA